AACGAACGCUGGCGGCAUGCCUAACACAUGCAAGUCGAACGAUUGCCUUCGGGUGAUGGUGGCUCACGGGUGCGUAACGCGUGGGAAUCUGCCCUUAGGUUCGGAAUAACAGCUGGAAACGGCUGCUAAUACCGGAUGAUAUCGCGAGAUCAAAGAUUUAUCGCCUGAGGAUGGGCCCGCGUUGGAUUAGGUAGUUGGUGGGGUAAGGGCCUGCCAAGCCGACGAUGCAUAGCUGGUCUGAGAGGAGGAUCAGCCACACCGGGACUGAGACACGGACCAGAAUCCGACGGGAGGCAGCAGUGGGGAAUAUUGGACAAUGGGCGCAAGCCUGAUCCAGCAAUGCCGCGUGAGUGAUGAAGGCCCUAGGGUUGUAAAGCUCUUUUACCCGGGAAGAGAAUGACGGUACCGGGAGAAUAAGCCCCGGCUAACUACGUG
rnacentral:rRNA from 1 species